CUAGCUAACGGAUUGACUGGUGGAGAAAGCGAAGCAGAUCAAAUAUGCAGAUCAAUUCUCUCUAAACAGACCAAAAUCGCCGGGAAAUAACGGGCUGUAGUUACAAACAGUAUGUGAAAUCAAAGACGAGUCAAUUUUGAUGCACAAUAAUAACUAAAUGUAAGGACUGUAAAGUAGCUGAGGCAGUUUGUAGCCUAAGCUAGCGUUAACAUGUUAACGUUAGCUAGCUACAACUUGAAAGGGGAAAGGCAUGUUUUUUUUGUCCUAUAUAGCUAGCUAGUGCUGAGAAAUCAGUAACGUUAAAUGCUGUCAUUUGUGAUAUAUUGAAACAUAUGGCUUUGCUUAGCUUAUUUGAAAACACCUCUUAAAUUCAAAAAAAGGUAAAGGAGUUGCAUUUUUUGACAAGCUGUCCGCUGAGACGGAGAGCACCACUAAACUCCAGUCCAUGUUUUUCAAGCAACACCUGCUAACCGAGAAAUUCAAUUAAGGACUCCUCUUCCCACUUGGAGCCGGUCUCCAGGGCAGAUCUUCCGGGCGACUCGCUGUAUAAGAAAUUAGAAAAUGCUACAAUAAAAACCGAAAAUCUGAAAAAAAUGUGGUAACUUUAUUAAUGAAAGCUCUUACGCCAUCCACCGUAAACACACACGUCCCUUUAGUUGGAAGUCACCGAUAGACAGCGAAGUACUUCAGAUCAUUCAUGGAAAGCCAUCUUCUAUAUUAAAAAUGCCACUGCUGGUACAACACAAGUGCAACUCUGGAAUGUGACGCCAUGUGUCUGCUGUCCAAAGGUCCAUCUCUAGCUGGACACCGGCCAGCCUUCACUGUCAGACUGGAGUGCCACUGAAGACCUCUGUGAUUCCCCCACACGUCCGUGCCAGGACUGCUCCUCUCCCUUUGGAUCUGUUAGUUUGAAAUCAUUUGGGUGAUGACUCUUUGAAAGUGGUGGUCAUUCUGGGAUGCCAUGUUCAAAAUGCAACAAAGACAUCUCUUUUAUGCACAAAUGCUAAUUAAAAUUUUUACCCCCAUCCCCAAGCUGCAGAGGGAGAGACUUGGUAGCAAUUUGGCAGAUAAUCAAAUUGCAUUUUAAAUGGAGCUGUUUAAAGAUGACUGGGGUCUGCUCACAGGAAGACACAGUGGCACAAAUUAAGCUUGAAUAAGCUGCUAUGUGUAUAGAGAAACAAUACAACAAAAUUCACAUCACAAUAGGAAGAUGCAUUUAUGUAAAUGGACAACAUGCAAUGUUUGCUAUACACAUACACAGUGAAAUUUGUUUUCUCCAAAUGAAUGCAUGCAGGAAUUCUGUUUUUUUUUAAUUACAUACUAACAAAUUAUUGUAGCUAGCGACCAAACAGCAACUCCCAUCCAAAGUAAAUAUCAUCAAUGCGAAACUUAAGAUUCUUAUAUAUUUCAUUAAGAGCUUUGCCAUUCUCACAAAAUUUGUAGGGUCUAGGGCCACUUCCGAGGCCAUGCCCACAAUGGUGUACUGAUUGGUCGAAAUGGGCGUGGCCUGUCACACCCCAAAAUAUGCUUUGGAGCUUUUAGAAUGGAUCCAUAAAAUGAAUUUAAAAGGGAAGCUUGGAUUUUUUUGUAUUACUACAGACCUUGCAGCUUACGCCUAGCAACAUUUUCUUUACUUUUGCCUUGCCCCUGUCGCGCUUUGGGAUCAACUGUCGCAUACUUCAAGGGUGGUCAAGGGCGACUUGCGCCGGGGAGGCUUGGACCCCAUCAUAACUGUUUGCACUUCUAGUCUUUUAAUUAUGAUUUGGCAUUUUUUUCAAUAUCUGUCCUUAUAAUUUGACCAAUUGAGGCAAAAUGCUAAUAAGACAUGAACUGUUGUGGUUCCUUGGAACCAUUUUGUUCUUAAUUUUAGAUUUUCAGCCUGACAGAAAUGGCAAACUGUUUGGAUAAUGUUGUCAACAGCUAUGUUUGUCUACGAAAUUCUGUGCUUAGAAGCUGUCCCCCCACAUUUGGCAUACAUCAUUAAGUUCUUCGUGGCCCAUCAAAUUGUUUAUUCACACAGCAUUCCAGUACAUAUUAGUGACAUCUCGUUAGCAAAAAACAGAAAACUGACACAAUAAAUUUGGGAAACAGGCCUGAAUUGUUUAUUCCUAAGAAUAAGUAGAAAGUGUGAUUCGCAUGAAAUGAUAGAAUUAGAUCAACAUCCAGCUCCCAAGGCCUCUUUUAGGCUUUCUCUUUGUGUCCCUGAAAAACUGAAUGCAUUAAAUGAUCUGUUUAGUUUUCAACACCAUUUUUACUCGGGCCACAUUUCCUGUGAAGUUCAACAUUCAUCAUAAGACCAAUACAGCCAUCAGAACUGCUUCAUAUCCAUAAAACUCCAUUAUGGAACGCACAACAAGUGAUGCUUGACUUGUAAGUUUAAAUGGUUCUUAAUUGGCUGUGAUUUGCUGGCUGUACAGCAGUGACUGAAAGUGGCAUAAUGAUCCUCCUCGGAUGAUACCUUACUUUUCUGUCAACUUAAUGCACCUUGACGCUGCAUGUAUCUGUUCUCUGUGUUGCCAUCGUCUCGGCAUCAUAGACUGACAUAACAAUGGUUUUGACCUGCACACUACAGGUUGCACUUAAGUAGAUGUAAUUUUGAACUCAAAGUCAGCAUUUUUAUAAAUGUAUGAUCUCUCAAUAAUAAGCACAAAGUAGAUGUAUUAUUUUGAUAAAAGCAACAGAAAGAAGAAGGCAUCCUAAUUGGAGCAACACAAUCCCUGUCUUAUGUUGAUUGACAAUUGACAAUUAUUGUUGCAAAGUUAAUGAUACAAGAGGGAUUUGAUUGAUUAAGUGGGUGACCGAUCAUAAAACUGCAGUCAAUAUUUGGCUAUAGCCUUAUUUCCCAUCUGAACAACAGUGUGGCAGGAUGUCUGAGAUGUAUGGCUAGACACACAGCUAUGGCAAAACACAUAUUAGGAAAUAAUAUCCCAUGACGCUAAAAUAAACAGUUUUAGUGUAUUUACUCAGUUGGAGCAAAGGGUAUUGGUUAAAGCUUACCAAUUUUGGUGUAGUUGGGAUGAAAAUCACCCUCUAAUUACUGUACUGUGUGGAUCCUUUGGUCCCAGUCCCCCUGCUGCAAAUUAUGGUAUUAAAAGUCCCUUUUAUUUUUAGAAAUAAAAUUUUAGCUUCAGAGACAAUAGGCUAGUUCUGUUUCACGGUACAGCAGACUUUAUCUUUUUAAUAAAAAAAUCCUGACUUGGUGAAAGUUUAAUUAAUAAGGGACUUAAAGCUAGGGGAAUGAGCAAGGGAGUUUGGUCUUUAAGGGGGUACUUAUUUUUCCAUCUGGGCUAUCCUCCAAAAAAACUGUCAAUUAGUGUGUUAAGCUGAAGAGACAAAAAACGUCAUUAGUUCUCGCAAAAAGAAUAAUGGGUUUUAAAGGUUUUGCUUUAGAGGCAGGCCAAAAGCACAAGAGUGAGACUUGUGUAUUUUCAUUUAUUUCCUGCAAUUAUCAAAGUUUAAAGGAAGGCUUUAUUGUUGUAAGGUGCACGAUUGAGAAAGCAGUCACAGUGGGUUGUUUUUCAAAGUAACUCUGUACCUUAAUUGUCUGAGAUAAGACAAAUAAAAUUAGUUGUAUUUGGUGGAGUGAAUCAUAGUGUGUAGAAUAUAUUAUUUUUCAAUUUUGAUAGUUUCCCUGUUAGCAAGCAAUGCUGUUGUUGAUGUGGGAUCCACUUCUGGACCACGAUUUGAUAUCUGUGUAUUGUAUAUGUUAUUGCACGCAUUACUUUUGUAACACGUUACUCCCAACACUGUAUAUGACUGCUUUGCCAACGUCCCUCACCUUCCAUUUACAGCCCAGGGUUUUUACAGCAUUUCUAAUUUGCACAUUUGUGACAUCAUCACACAAUUAUUUGCAUAAAGCUUAGUGGUUGUUGGUUGCAGACCUAGACUGUAUAAAAUAGGUUGCAGUGAGGGACGCAUCAAUAAAGACUUGAAGGAGUGACUUGUCACUAGGCCUGCACAAUUUGGGGAAAAAUACAAAUCACAAUAUUUUUGCUAUUAAAAAUCUCUGCCAUGAUUUUUUUGACCACAAUAAAAGAAAACAAAUUGGCAGUACCAAACAGAUUUGUUUUGGCACCUAUAGCACAUUGCGCAUCACCACAAGCCUGUAAACAAACAAAGA